rnacentral:rRNA from 1 species
CGGAAGUCUGAACCAGCCAAGUAGCGUGCAGGAUGACGGCCUAUGGGUUGUAAACUGCUUUUAUGCGGGGAUAAAGUUAGUCACGUGUGACUAUUUGCAGGUACCGCAUGAAUAAGGACCGGCUAAUUCCGUGCCAGCAGCCGCGGUAAUACGGAAGGUCCUGGCGUUAUCCGGAUUUAUUGGGUUUAAAGGGAGCGUAGGCCGUGGAUUAAGCGUGUUGUGAAAUGUAGACGCUCAACGUCUGACUUGCAGCGCGAACUGGUUCACUUGAGUGUGCGCAACGCAGGCGGAAUUCGUGGUGUAGCGGUGAAAUGCUUAGAUAUCACGAAGAACUCCGAUUGCGAAGGCAGCUUGCGGGAGCACAACUGACGCUGAAGCUCGAAAGUGCGGGUAUCAAACAGGAUUAGAUACCCUGGUAGUCCGCACGGUAGACGAUGGAUGCCCGUUCUUCGUUCUUUUGAAUGAGGGACCAAGCGAAAGCAUUAAGCAUUCCACCUGGGGGAGUACGCCGGCAACGGUGAAACUCCAAGGAAUUGACGGGGGCCG